GGCCUGUGAUUUGAGACCAAUUGUCCGUACCAUCUGAGAUUCUUGAUGUUUCACAAUUGCCAAUUUAUCUAUGAGGCCC
rfam:Oryza brachyantha chromosome 8, whole genome shotgun sequence.